AUGAACGUUGGCGGCGUGUCUUAGGCAUGCAAGUCGUGGGAAGCAGUGUAGCAAUACAUUGACUGACCGGCAGACGGGUGAGUACGACAGUGGUAACCUACCUCAUAGUCUUGAAUAACCCGACGAAAGUUGGACUAAUACAAGAUGGGCAAGGGGGGACGAAAGUCAUUCCCUUGUAAAGCUUCGGCGCUAUGAGAGGGGCCUUUGGUUAUCAGCUAGUUGGUGAGGUAAUGGCU
rnacentral:rRNA from 1 species